AUGAGGAUGGGGUGGGUGGGGAGGGUUUAGGUGGAGAAUUUUCUUUAUCUUGAUCCCACCUGACCUGCCACAUGUGCACGGGUGUUGAAAGCACCCCUGUAUGUUUGCGCUUGCUCGUUUGCCAAAUCAAUGCCAAUGUAAUUCUUA
rnacentral:misc_RNA from 1 species